CCUACGGGGGGCAGCAGUGAGGAAUAUUGGUCAAUGGACGAGAGUCUGAACCAGCCAAGUAGCGUGAAGGAUGACUGCCCUAUGGGUUGUAAACUUCUUUUAUAUGGGAAUAAAAUGUUCCACGUGUGGGAUUUUGUAUGUACCAUAUGAAUAAGGAUCGGCUAACUCCGUGCCAGCAGCCGCGGUAAUACGGAGGAUCCGAGCGUUAUCCGGAUUUAUUGGGUUUAAAGGGAGCGUAGGUGGAUUGUUAAGUCAGUUGUGAAAGUUUGCGGCUCAACCGUAAAAUUGCAGUUGAAACUGGCAGUCUAGAGAGCAGUAGAGGUAGGCGGAAUUCGUGGUGUAGCGGUGAAAUGCUUAGAUAUCACGAAGAACUCCGAUUGCGAAGGCAGCUCACUGGACUGCAACUGACACUGAGGCUCGAAAGUGUGGGUAUCAAACAGGAUUAGAUACCCUAGUAGUC
rnacentral:rRNA from 1 species